AAGAGCAAAGGGAAACUAGAUUGGACAAAGGAAAGGAGAAAGCAAACGAGUAGCCGAUUUGGAACCAUUCUACCCCAAACAAGGUCUCUCGGACUCUUAUUGUUUGCGUGAUCGGGACCGUCGUUGAAGUCAUCACACCGGCUGAAAUCUUGUGGUAUUGUUUUCGUUGUUGAAGAACAUUUGGCAUGUAUAGGCUAUUAUAUUUUGUCGAAUUGAGGGUUGUAAACUUUAAGCCAUGUGAAAAUGGCCUAUGUGGUCGUCGAGUGGGAUGCUAGAACUUAUAGCCACGAGUCUUAGAAACUUUAAUUUCGAUAAGGUGGCCAUAAUUUGUGUCAUGUAUGAUGGAUGAUUAAGGCCAAGGAAAGAUUCAUGAAA